rnacentral:rRNA from 1 species
CCUACGGGAGGCAGCAGUGGGGAAUAUUGCGCAAUGGGCGAAAGCCUGACGCAGCGACGCCGCGUGAGGGAUGAAGGUCUUCGGAUCGUAAACCUCUGUCAGCAGGGAAGAACGGUCACUGUGCUAAUCAGCAGUGAAUUGACGGUACCUGCAAAGGAAGCACCGGCUAACUCCGUUCCAGCAGCCGCGGUAAUCAGGAAGGUGCGUGCGUUAAUCGGAAUUACUGGGCGUAAAGGUCUCGUCGGCGGUAUGUCAAAUCAAGGGUGAAAUCCCCUGGCACAACGUGGGAACUGCCUUUGAAACUGGCAAACUAGAGUGUGUGAGAGGAGAGUGGAAUUCCAGGUGUAGCAGUGAAAUGCGUAGAUAUCUGGAGGAACAUCAGUGGCGAAGGCGACUAACUGGCACAAAACUGACGCUGAGGGGCGAAAGCGUGGGGAGCAAACAGGAUUAGAUACCCUUGUAGUC